UGCAAACACAGCAAACAAGAGACAUCAAAGAAGUGUUUUAUAACGUGGAACAACUUGCUGGGGAAGUGAGAAGAUUGAGUUCCAAAGGGGCGUCCGGUAGCGACAAUGGGACGUUUAGUGAGGUUGCAGUUGUGGGUUCAUGCGAACCUCCUAAGCCUCAAGGGGAAGUUGUUGGAUUCGAUGCGCCCUUGACCGAGCUAAAGAUGAAGCUUUUUAAAGAUGGGGUGUCGGUCAUUGUUGUGUCUGCUCAGGGUGGAUCCGGGAAGACAACCUUGGUUCAAGAGCUAUGUCGGGAUGAAGGAGUCAAAGGUAUCAUUUCCUGUGCUUAGCUUUGUUUAUGCUUGAUUUUUAGUUUCUGGUUCUUGACUGGUUUGAUUAUUAGAUGCACAUCUGUUGAUUUGGUUAUGUCACAAGUGGAAACCAGAGUGGAAUGGCUAGCUUAACUUGAAUAAAUUUUGGAAGUAGGAGAAAAUGUUUCUUCUGAAAAUUCAUUUGGAAUAGUUGUGAAUCCUUUGGAAGACGUUAUUUGUCAAAUCCAAUUGAAUUAAACACUUUGCCAUGUAAGACUUCGAGUGUAGAAUAACUAGAUAACUGUUCAAGCAUUUGGUAAAGAUAUUUUAUGAGUAAUUUUGAUUGUAGUUGGAAUGAUUUCCUUUGUGCGGUCCUUCAACUGGAAUUCUACUGAGGCAAGCGAUUGAGAAAUUUUGGAUUCUAUUUUACCAAAUUUUCAUGCAUUAAAAUCGGGGAAUAUGUUUGUCACUUGCAAAAUGCUAUAAAUUAUCUUUGAAACUUUGCCAGAUUUCUAAUGCGAUGUUUGAACAGGAAAAUUUAAAGAAAACAUCUUCUAUGUGACUGUUUCAAAGGCACCCAACCUGGAGGUCAUUUUGCAGAAAUUACUCCGGCUUAAGGAUUCUAGAAUGCCUGAAUUUCAGAAUGAGGAGGAUGCCCUGAACCACUUGGAACAAAACUUCAGGAAAAUGGCAACCAAUCCCAUAUUACUCAUCCUGGACGAUGUUUGGUCUGGAUCUGAAUCCCUUGUUGAGAAGUUAAAGUUUACAUUGCCAGAUUACAAGAUCUUGGUAACAUCAAGAUUUGCCUUUCCAAGAUUUGAUUUUACAUAUCGUCUGAAACCAUUAAAUGAUGAUGAUGCUAUGACUCUGUUUCGUCACUUUGCAUUCUCGAAAGAUGUGGAUCCUGACAUUUCAGAUGAUCUCGUGAAUAAGGUAUUUUUAUCAAUCUGAAGACUCGUUCUAACUUUCACCCCUUGUAUGAAACUUUGAACACUUUCAUACUUCACUGUUGAUUUGCCACUGUAAUUUAGAUUAAAGAUCGAAAGGUUCAAAUCUUUAUAUUUGUAUACCAAGGUCGGUUUAAUUAAAGUGUUUUCCUGAACCUCCAAAAAAUGACUUUGAUGUUGUGUAACGAAUUUUAGGUAAUGAAAAGCUGUAAGGGACUCCCACUGGCCCUUGACGUGGUUGGUAGAUCACUUCGUGGGCAACCUGGUACAAUCUGGCGACGUAGAGCAAAGCAGCGGUCUAAAGGAGAAUCCAUCUUUAAUUCUAGCAAUGAGCUGCUUACUUGUCUUCAAAGCAGUUUAGAUGCAUUGGAUAGUAAGGCAGGAAUAAGGGACUGCUACCUGGACCUAGGUUCGUUCCCUGAAGAUCACUGGAUUCCUGCUACUGCCCUCAUUGAUAUGUGGGUUGAGCAGUACAAACUUGAUGAAGAUGAUGAUGCCAUUUUCAACCUCCAUGAACUCUCUACCAGGAAUCUAGUUAAUCUUGUAGUCGUGAGGUAUGCUAGUCAGUUCUUACUUUCUAUCUACUGUAACUUUAGCAUCCAUGUCCUGCCAUUCUCAUUUUAUUCUCUUCAAUCUAUCCAUAUUAUAGGGUUUCUCCCGUUGUACCCUAUAAUUCCAUUAAUCUGAAUGUAAAUCAAGCAGGACAGAUCUUCAACCUUGCUUCCCUUAUCAGAUAGGCACUAAGUUAUUGUUUAUGGUACAUGUUUGAAUCUCUACCCAACAGAUUUCUUUUUGCUUAUUCACCAGGAAAGAUGCACGUGAAGCUGAUGGCUACUACAAAGAGCACUUUGUCACGCAACAUGAUCUUCUCAGAGAGCUGGCUAUCUAUCAGAGCAGCUUGGACCCCGUGGAAAAAAGAAAGAGGUUAAUUGUAGAGCUAAGCCGCAACAAUUUUCCCAAUUGGUGGUUGGAAGAAAAGCAGCAAACUCUUGGUGCCCGCCUUUUGUCUAUCUCCACAGGUUGUUAUCUCUACCUUCAGACACAUGCACACACAAUAAGAAAUUUAGUCCUUCUACCCUAAGUUCUCGUGCCAUUUUUUACCUCAUCACAGAUGAAACAUUCACAUUCAGCUGGGGCAACAUCCAAGCACCAGAAGUUGAGGUUGUAGUUCUCAAUUUUCGGACGAAGAACUACACCUUGCCUGUCUUCAUGGAGAAAAUGGAUAAAUUGAAGGUUUUGAUAGUCACGAAUAGCAGUUUCUACCCAGCUGAAUUAAGUAACUUUCUGCUUCUGUGUUCUUUAUCGAAUCUAAGGAGAAUUAGGUUAGAGAAGGUGUCAGUUCCUUCCCUCAGCAUGAGCUCUUUACACCUAAAGAAUUUGGAAAAAAUAUCCUUAUAUAUGUGUAAUAUCGGUCAGGCUUUUGGGAAUGGCACUAAGAAGAUGUCAGAUAUUUUUCCGAAUCUUUUGGAAAUUGACAUUGACUAUUGUGAUGAUCUGGUGGAACUGACUGAUGGGUUGUGUGAUCUUGUUCAUCUGAUGAAGCUCAGUAUCACUAACUGCCACAAGCUUUGUGCACUGCCUGAAGGCAUUGGAAAGCUGGUAAACUUAGAAGUGCUAAGGCUAGCAUCCUGUACCGAUCUCGUGAGGUUGCCCGAGACCAUUGGGAGCUUAUCCCAGCUUAAUAUUUUUGACAUUUCCGACUGCCUGAGCAUCAUCAACAUGCCGGUCCAGAUUGGGGAACUGCACAAUCUAAGGAAGCUCUAUAUGAGAGGGUGCUCUAGUUGUAACCUACCUCCAACAAUCACAAAGCUUCAACGUUUGAAGGAUGUCAUAUGCGAUGAGGAGACUGCCUAUCAAUGGGAUUGUUUCAAAUCCUAUCUCAGCAAUCUAAGGGUAACAGUUCAUGAAGAAGACAUCAACUUGAACUGGCUCCGGACUUGUUUUUAAGAUUCCUCUCUUCUCAUGUGGUGCUGGAGCCUCCUUUCUUUUCAUAUACGUUAGUCUCCUUUACGUAUUUAUCACCACUCAUUGAAAUUUAGUGGUUAGGUUGGAAGACACUCCAACCAAACAAAUUUAUUUUUAUUAUUAAAAAAAAAUUGAUUGUAGAACAUAAUUAAAAAGAAAACCCCUUUCGACAACUUAGCCAGAAAAUGAACAAUAAUUUGGAAUACUAAAUGAGUUUCAAUAUGGACAAUUAAUUUUUUUUCUUACUCUAAACCUGUGGUAGUUACAUAAUACUACCAAGAAACCAACUCUACAUAAAAACUUGAAAGGUACGUGUUACACAAAGUAAAACACUCCAUAGCAGCAGAAGCAGCUAUCGCGCUAGACACAGUAAAUUUAUUCAACUUAGAAACCAUGCUCAUUUCCUUCAUUCUGUACAGCUCCAAAGCUUCUUUAGGCCUAUCGAAACGAACAUAACCCGAAAUCAUCGCGGUCCACGAGAAAUUAUCUCUUUCAGGCAUUUCAUCAAACAACUUAUUUGCUUCUUUAAGCAUUCCCAUUUUAGCAUACCCAGACAUCAAAGUGUUCCAAGAACACAAAUCCCUGUCACUCAUUUCAUCGAAAACAUUCUGGGCAUCUGCCAAACUCCCGCACUCGGCGUACAUAUAAAAGGCGGUUAUAAAUAACUACGCCGGCUGAAAACCCAGAAAUUUUUUUAUGUUGGUGAACUGAUUUGCCCUCGUUAAGAGCUCUGUUUUGGCAGCAAAGCUGGAUAAGAGCGGAGUAGAGAGAAGCUGGGGGUUUCUCGAUUUGAUUGAGGAUUUGAAUAGCUUCUUUUAAGAGUUUCUGGUUCCAUAAAUUAUGUAAUUGGUUUAUUAGAUUGUCUUUGGUGUUUGGUUUGAAAAAUGUUUUCUGAGGGAAAUGUUUAUGAAUUUAGGUUUGGGAAGAAAACCAAGAAGAGAAUAUUGCUCUGUUUUUGUGAAACAAAGAUAAAGAAUUGGAAAUUCUGGAAUUUAUUGAUUUCAUUGUUUUAAGAAAUUUUCGUGUAAAAUGUGGUUUCCGCUAUGGUGAUGAUUUUCUACUUUUAGUGUGAAAUUUGAAAUCAAGACUUUUAUAGAGAGAUGGAAGCCUGAUUCAAGGUGAAUUUGGGCCAAAACACGAGCAACAAGCUCAAUGUUAAAACCCAAUCCAAAAGAUUGUUUACAUUAAUAUUAAUUAUAAAUACAUUUUAAUUUACAUUUAGUUAAAAUUUAUUUAUUAUUAUUUUUUUGGGUGCUGUUCUUUUCGUCCAUCACAUGUUGGGAGUUGGGACAUGGGAGUGGGAAAAGUAGUUUCAGUGUUUCACAGUAAAUCUUAAGACGCACGCCUAGGCUUUGUCCUUUUUCUGACUGUGACCAAGGCGUCGGAGACCUUAGCUAAACAACCAUUUUAAGAGCUCGUAAGAAGGGAGGCCAGCAUUAAUAGACUUUCGUCAACAUUAACUCGACUAUUUUCCACUCUUUAGGUCCCAUUAUAAUUAAAGUAAAGAUUCCCGUACCCGAAGGAAAUUUCCAGGGGGCAGGAGCUUCUUCAUUAAGGAAUAUGGGGAAUAUAUAUAUAUAUAUAAAAAAAAGCGGAUUCCUUUAUUUGGGGAAUUCUUGCCAAGUUCAGAUGAAAACAUUAAUAUUUCUUGAAUUUUGGUUCUUGGGGUUUCCACAAAGAUUUUUAUGGCAGCAGCUUUGGUCGGAGGAGCGGCCUUAGGGGCAGUUUUUGGAGAGCUGCUUAGAGCCGUUGUAGAAGCGAGGAAAACACUUGCCCAGUUCCGUGAUGCCUUGGCGGAACUGGAAUCCACGCUAUCAUCCAUACAGCCAACAAUCAAAGCCAUAGAAUCACUCAACAAACUUCAUGACAGGGAGCACGAAAUGAAACCGUUCAUGGAAAUCAUUUGUACAGGAGAGAAACUUGUCAGGCAGUGCUUCAAAGUCCAUAGGUGGAACUUCCCCAAGAAGACUUGUUAUACAUACAAACUUCGUGGAUUGAAGAAAAAGCUCGACAGCUUCUGUCUGAUUAAUAUGCAAAUACAGCUAUUAAGAGACAACAAAGAAACGUCUUAUAAAAUGGAACAACUUGCUGGGGAAGUGAGAAGAUUGAGUUCCAAAGGGGCGUCCGGUAGCGACAAUGGGACGUUUAGUGAGGUUGCAGUUGUGGGUUCAUGCGAACCUCCUAAGCCUCAAGGGGAAGUUGUUGGAUUCGAUGCGCCCUUGACCGAGCUAAAGAUGAAGCUUUUUAAAGAUGGGGUGUCGGUCAUUGUUGUGUCUGCUCAGGGUGGAUCCGGGAAGACAACCUUGGUUCAAGAGCUAUGUCGGGAUGAAGGAGUCAAAGGUAUCAUUUCCUGUGCUUAGCUUUGUUUAUGCUUGAUUUUU
rnacentral:lncRNA from 1 species